rnacentral:rRNA from 1 species
GAUGAACGCUGGCGGCGUGCCUAAUACAUGCAAGUCGAGCGAACAGACGAGGAGCUUGCUCCUCUGACGUUAGCGGCGGACGGGUGAGUAACACGUGGAUAACCUACCUAUAAGACUGGGAUAACUUCGGGAAACCGGAGCUAAUACCGGAUAAUAUAUUGAACCGCAUGGUUCAAUAGUGAAAGACGGUUUUGCUGUCACUUAUAGAUGGAUCCGCGCCGCAUUAACUAGUUGGUAAGGUAACGGCUUACCAAGGCAACGAUGCGUAGCCUACCUGAGAGGGUGAUCGGCCACACUGGAACUGAGACACGGUCCAGACUCCUACGGGAGGCAGCAGUAGGGAAUCUUCCGCAAUGGGCGAAAGCUUGACGGAGCAACGCCGCGUGAGUGAUGAAGGUCUUCGGAUCGUAAAACUCUGUUAUUAGGGAAGAACAAAUGUGUAAGUAACUAUGCACGUCUUGACGGUACCUAAUCAGAAAGCCACGGCUAACUACGUG